ACGAAUAUAGUUAAAUUGGUAUAACCUCUACCUUCCAAGUAGAUGUCAUCAGUUCGAAUCUGAUUUUUCGUA
rnacentral:tRNA from 1 species